GACGAACGCUGGCGGCGUGCCUAAUACAUGCAAGUCGAGCGCUGAAGCUAGGUACUUGUUCCUACUGGAUGAGCAGCGGACGGGUGAGUAACGCGUGGGUAACCUGCCUUUGAGCGGGGGACAACAUCUGGAAACGAAUGCUAAUACCGCAUAAUAUCUUUAAACACAAGUUUUAAGAUUGAAAGAUGCUAUUGCUUCACCCAAAGAUGAUCUCGCGUUGUAUUAGCUAGUUGGUGAGGUAAAGGCUCACCAAGGCGAAGAUACAUAGCCGACCUGAGAGGGUGGACCGCCACAAUGGGAACUGGACACGGCCCAAACCCCCACGGGGAGGAACAAGAGGGAAACUUCGGCAAUGGGGGGAAGGCUGACCGAGGAACGCCGCCGGAGGGGAGGAGGGUCUCGGAUCGUUAAAACCUGUUGAUAGGGAAGGACGUAAGGUGUAAGGGAAAACGCAUGAAGUGACGGUAACUACCCAGAAAGGGACGGCUAACUACGUG
rnacentral:rRNA from 1 species